rnacentral:rRNA from 1 species
UACGGGGGGGGUAAGCGUUGUUCGGAAUUACUGGGCGUAAAGGGCUCGUAGGCGGCCAACUAAGUCAGACGUGAAAUCCCUCAGCUUAACUGGGGAACUGCGUCUGAUACUGGAUGGCUUGGAUUCGGGAGAGGAAUGCGGAAUUCCAGGUGUAGCGGUGAAAUGCGUAGAUAUCUGGAGGAACACCGGUGGCGAAGGCGGCAUUCUGGACCAUUACUGACACUGAAAAGCGAAAGCCAGGGGAGCAAACGGG